rnacentral:rRNA from 1 species
UACGUAGGGGGCUAGCGUUGUCCGGAAUCAUUGGGCGUAAAGCGCGUGUAGGCGGUUCGGUAAGUCCGCUGUGAAAGUCGGGGGCUCAACCCUCGAAUGCCGGUGGAUACUGUCGGACUAGAGUACGGAAGAGGCGAGUGGAAUUCCUGGUGUAGCGGUGAAAUGCGCAGAUAUCAGGAGGAACACCAACGGCGAAGGCAGCUCGCUGGAACGGUACUGACGCUGAGGCGCGAAAGCGUGGGGAGCAAACAGG